rnacentral:lncRNA from 1 species
GUCGAGGGUUCGAUUCUGGAGAAAUCAAUAGGAAGAAUCUGUCCCUUCUACUUCUAGUUCGUCCUCGGGGUGUAGAGAGAUUUUUACUCCUGUUCCUAUUUCUGUUGCUAACCCCGUUACUUUGGCUCGUCCUAGGGAGAUGGGGCGAGAUAGGGUAGAGAAGGAGGUAGGUUCCCCUAUGGGUAGUGAAGGGAACGAUCAGUUGGAGUAGGGGGCUGAAUCUUACAUGUCGGUAGUCACAUGUGAUAUGUUAGCUAGUUGGAGGGCAAAAUAUGAUAUUCCGAGUUUGGUAAUUAUGAUAAUCCUUGAACCAUUUGACCGUGCUAAUGCUCCCCCUAUGGGAUGUGUCGCAUUGAAUUCUACCAUCCUUCAAGCCGGGCUGAGAUUACCUAUUCAUAUGGUUAUCCGUAGUUCUUGUCUUUUUAGGGCAUAGCUCCGACCCAGUUAUGGCCAAAUUGGUGGCGGACUCUGAUCGCCACGCUUAUUCUAUGGGAUAGAUUAGGUAACCCUAAGCUUACGAUUGAGCUGUUCAACUCUUUGUUUACUUUUAAGUAGGAUGGGAAGAACUCGGGUUGGUAGUAAACAAGUGUUAGGCCAAGGACGGGAGGUUUUCUGGUUUUAGACACCCCCUCAUCCAUUAAGAAAUAGAAGGAAGAGUGGUUCUAUGUGUCGGGGGAGUGGCAGUUUCAUUCUGCCAAGGUGAAUAGGGACGAUGUGGUCCCAGCGCUUUAUCACUCGUUAUGUAAGUAACUGUCUCUUAGUGUUUUAACCUAGAUUGUAUUUUGAGCAUCUCUAAUUGAUAUCAUGUUACUGUGCAAAUUAUAAGAGGCCUACACUGAAGAAAGACACUCAGAGGCGAGCGGAAGCAAUUCGUGCAUUGCCGAAGAAACAGAGAUCUUGCAAAUUUUUGCUCUCAAAUUUCAACCUUUUCCAGGCCGGCUUGAUUCAAACUAGGGUACCGGGAACUUCCACCGUCGUAGCGUCUACAUUAGUUCCGACCAGUUCAGGUCGAUUUUGAUUGGUUUAUUGAGGUGAUAUUUGUUAGAGUUGAGUGCUGACAUACUUUUUUGUUUAGAGUUCACAAUUCAGAAAUAUUGGGAUACAAGGCAGCAAAAGUUGCGGUCGCACCGAAGGCCAAGAAGAGGGACAUCCCAGAACGGGAUGAAAGUCGUUUUGAGGAAGUGGAGGACGAGGUCUCCUUGAAGAGGAAUCGUAUGGUACGUCGGCCGCACCAAGGGUCCCUGAUGCCGAUCCUGCGUUGAGCUCUUCUUCUUUGGUGGCCAUCACUUUGCCGUCUCCAACUCAUACCUCGCCACCUCCUGCGACACCUGCUUCCGCUUCGACUAGCUUGACAAAGGUGUAGGAGAGGUGCUCGAACUUACAAAGGCCAUCACUGGAUAGUCUACUAGGCCACCAUCCAGAGAUCUUCCUAGAUUACUUGCGAGCUCCAUCUCUAUCGAGGGAGAUUACUAUUGCACUUCCCCCACCUCUGCGUGAUUCUGCAAACCUACUUACCAGGAGUUAGGGUGAAAGGGAGUAGGGCUUCCUUAAUGCACAUAGGUGAGGCCCUAGUGACUGCUCAACUUCACGGCCAUCGCUCUAUCCUGUACAUGACGGCCGUAGCUGAUAAGGUAUUUUCCUUACUUCAUUUUAUUUGAUGAUUUACAUAUUUGCGAGGUGCUUAACUUAUGGAUUUUAAUAUAGGUGAAAUCUGAGCUCGACAAACUGAUGGAGGCCAAGGAUCAGGCCUUGAAUUUGUAUAAUAGCAUGGAGGUUGAGAGAGCUCAGUUUGCCAUAAAAGAAAAAGAAUACGAGGAGAAGCUUAACACGAUGGGGUUUAAGCUGAACUCGAGGCUAGAGAUGGAGGAAAAAUGGAUGGGGGAGAUUAGAGCUUUGAGGAAGGAGGCCGGUCGUAGGGCUGAGGCUGAGAAGAAGAGGAUUGAGGAAGAGAGUUCGGACUAAGGAGGCUGUAGAGAAGGUACGGGAGGUAAAUGAGAGAGUAAGAAAGGCAACGUGUAGACUGAGGAGGCUGAAUCUAGGGCUAUGAAGACAG